rnacentral:rRNA from 1 species
UACGGAGGGUGCAAGCGUUACUCGGAAUCACUGGGCGUAAAGCGCAUGCAGGCGGUCAAAUAAGUUGGAAGUGAAAUCCUAUGGCUCAACCAUAGAACUGCUUCCAAAACUGUUUGACUAGAGUCUGGGAGGGGAAGAUGGAAUUAGUAGUGUAGGGGUAAAAUCCGUAGAGAUUACUAGGAAUACCAAAAGCGAAGGCGAUCUUCUGGAACAGUACUGACGCUGAGAUGCGAAAGCGUGGGGAGCAAACAGGAUUAGAUACCCUGGUAGUCCACGCAGUAAACGAUGAAUGUUAGUCGUUGGGUCUCUAGUAGAUUCAGUGAUGCAGUUAACACAUUAAACAUUCCGCCUGGGGAGUACGGUCGCAAGAUUAAAACUCAAAGGAAUAGACGGGGGACCCGCACAAGUGGUGGAGCAUGUGGUUUAAUUCGAAGAUACGCGAAGAACCUUACCUAGCCUUGACAUAUUUUGGAAUUCACCAGAGAUGGAGAAGUGCCUUCGGGAGCCAAUUUACAGGUGCUGCACGGCUGUCGUCAGCUCGUGUCGUGAGAUGUUGGGUUAAGUCCCGCAACGAGCGCAACCCUCGUCACUAGUUACUAACGAUUCGGUCGAGGACUCUAGUGAGACUGCCUUCGUAAGGAGGAGGAAGGUGAGGACGACGUCAAGUCAUCAUGGCCCUUACGGCUAGGGCAACACACGUGCUACAAUGGUUAGGACAAUGAGACGCGAUACCGCGAGGUGGAGCAAAUCUAUAAACCUGUUCUCAGUUCGGAUUGUAGUCUGCAACUCGACUACAUGAAGCUGGAAUCACUAGUAAUCGUAGAUCAGCUAUGCUACGGUGAAUACGUUCCCGGGUC